GCUUGCGGCUGGAUCCCCUCCUUUCCUUAAAGCACGCCGAUCCCGGCGCAAGUGUCCACACACAUUGUCUGAAUUCGGUAUACCGUUGAGCCUGGGUCUGUAGCUCAGUUGGUUAGAGCGCACCCCUGAUAAGGGUGAGGUCGGUGGUUCAAAUCCACCCAGACCCACCAUUUUGCGGGGCGUUGCUCCAGUCGACCUGACGCAGGAUUUUUCGUGUCAGGCGAGGCGCGUGAGGAGCGAGGACGGGAGCAUACGAAGGUAUGUGACCGCCCGAACGACGAGCAGCAACGCCGCAUGACGCGAAAAUGACAAGUCAGGGGCCAUAGCUCAGCUGGGAGAGCAUCUGCUUUGCAAGCAGAGGGUCGGCGGUUCGAUCCCGCCUGGCUCCACCACUCAGUCCCCCGCAGUUAGUCAAUUGGAACGGAGUUGACUAAGUGCCUGGUGCUGAGGGCAUCAAGCGGUUCUUUAACAAUUCGGAUGAAGUAUGAAUGGCGCCGAUGGUGGCUCUUCGGAGCGACCAUCAUGGGUAAAGCUGUUAUUCGUGGACCAGCACAUGCGAUCUCAGAUUGCUUGAGGUUAUAUGGUCAAGUUAGUAAGCGCAUACGGUGGAUGCCUUGGCGGCAGGAGGCGAUGAAGGACGUGACAGCCUGCGAUAAGCUUCGGGGAGCCGGCAAAUAGGCUUUGAUCCGGAGAUUUCCGAAUGGGGAAACCCGGAAGC
rnacentral:misc_RNA from 1 species